rnacentral:rRNA from 1 species
UGGGGAAUUUUGGACAAUGGGCGAAAGCCUGAUCCAGCCAUGCCGCGUGAGUGAAGAAGGCCUCCGGGUUGUAAAGCUCUUUUAGUCGGAAAGAAAGAGUUGAAAUGAAUAAUUGUGAUUUAUGACGGUACCGACAGAAAAAGCACCGGCUAACUACGUGCCAGCAGCCGCGGUAAUACGUAGGGUGCGAGCGUUAAUCGGAAUUACUGGGCGUAAAGGGUGCGCAGGCGGUCUUGCAAGUCAGAUGUGAAAGCCCCGGGCUUAACCUGGGAAUUGCGUUUGAAACUACAAGACUAGAGUGCAGCAGAGGGGAGUGGAAUUCCAUGUGUAGCAGUGAAAUGCGUAGAGAUGUGGAAGAACACCGAUGGCGAAGGCAGCUCCCUGGGUUGACACUGACGCUCAUGCACGAAAGCGUGGGGAGCAAACA